rnacentral:rRNA from 1 species
AACGCUAGCUACAGGCUUAACACAUGCAAGUCGAGGGGCAGCAUUUUAGUUUGCUUGCAAACUGAAGAUGGCGACCGGCGCACGGGUGAGUAACACGUAUCCAACCUGCCGAUAACUCCGGAAUAGCCUUUCGAAAGGAAGAUUAAUACCGGAUAGCAUACGAAUAUCGCAUGAUAUUUUUAUUAAAGAAUUUCGGUUAUCGAUGGGGAUGCGUUCCAUUAGUUUGUUGGCGGGGUAACGGCCCACCAAGACUACGAUGGAUAGGGGUUCUGAGAGGAAGGUCCCCCACAUUGGAACUGAGACACGGUCCAAACUCCUACGGGAGGCAGCAGUGAGGAAUAUUGGUCAAUGGGCGAGAGCCUGAACCAGCCAAGUAGCGUGAAGGAUGAAGGCUCUAUGGGUCGUAAACUUCUUUUAUAUGGGAAUAAAGUUUUCCACGUGUGGAAUUUUGUAUGUACCAUAUGAAUAAGGAUCGGCUAACUCCGUGCCAGCAGCCGCGGUAAUACGGAGGAUCCGAGCGUUAUCCGGAUUUAUUGGGUUUAAAGGGAGCGUAGGUGGAUUGUUAAGUCAGUUGUGAAAGUUUGCGGCUCAACCGUAAAAUUGCAGUUGAAACUGGCAGUCUUGAGUACAGUAGAGGUGGGCGGAAUUCGUGGUGUAGCGGUGAAAUGCUUAGAUAUCACGAAGAACUCCGAUUGCGAAGGCAGCUCACUAGACUGUCACUGACACUGAUGCUCGAAAGUGUGGGUAUCAAACAGGAUUAGAUACCCUGGUAGUCCACACAGUAAACGAUGAAUACUCGCUGUUUGCGAUAUACAGUAAGCGGCCAAGCGAAAGCAUUAAGUAUUCCACCUGGGGAGUACGCCGGCAACGGUGAAACUCAAAGGAAUUGACGGGGGCCCGCACAAGCGGAGGAACAUGUGGUUUAAUUCGAUGAUACGCGAGGAACCUUACCCGGGCUUAAAUUGCAACAGAAUAUAUUGGAAACAGUAUAGCCGUAAGGCUGUUGUGAAGGUGCUGCAUGGUUGUCGUCAGCUCGUGCCGUGAGGUGUCGGCUUAAGUGCCAUAACGAGCGCAACCCUUAUCUUUAGUUACUAACAGGUUAUGCUGAGGACUCUAGAGAGACUGCCGUCGUAAGAUGUGAGGAAGGUGGGGAUGACGUCAAAUCAGCACGGCCCUUACGUCCGGGGCUACACACGUGUUACAAUGGGGGGUACAGAAGGCGGCUACCUGGUGACAGGAUGCUAAUCCCAAAAACCUCUCUCAGUUCGGAUCGAAGUCUGCAACCCGACUUCGUGAAGCUGGAUUCGCUAGUAAUCGCGCAUCAGCCAUGGCGCGGUGAAUACGUUCCCGGGCCUUGUACACACCGCCCGUCAAGCCAUGAAAGCCGGGGGUACCUGAAGUACGUAACCGCAAGGAGCGUCCUAGGGUAAAACUGGUAAUUG